rnacentral:rRNA from 1 species
GCGCAGCAGUCGAGAAUCUUCCCCAAUGGACGAAAGUCUGAGGGAGCGACGCCGCGUGAAUGAAGAAGCCCUUCGGGGUGUAAAAUUCUUUUCUUUAGGAAAAAUUCGUGAUGGUACUAAAGGAAUAAGGGGCCGCCAAACUCGUGCCAGCAGCGGCGGUAAUACGAGUGCCCCGAGCGUUAUCCGGAAUUACUGGGCGUAAAGCGCUAAAAGGCGGUUUGAUAAGUCAGACGUCAAAAUCUACCGAGCUACAACGUCGGACGCCGGUGUCUAGAAACUGUACUAACUUGAGGACGGAAG